CCUACGGGAGGCAGCAGUGAGGAAUAUUGGUCAAUGGGCGCGAGCCUGAACCAGCCAAGCAGCGUGAAGGAUGACUGCCCUACGGAUUGUAAACUUCUUUUAUAAAGGAAUAAAGUGAGGCACGUGAGCCUGAUUGUAGGUACUUUAUGAAUAAGGAUCGGCUAACUCUGUGCCAGCAGCCGCGGUAAUACGGAGGAUCCGAGCGUUAUCCGGAUUUAUUGGGUUUAAAGGGAGCGUAGACGGGUUGUUAAGUCAGUGGUGAAAGCUUGGGGCUCAACCGUGGAGUUGCAAUUGAUACUGGGUGCCUGGAGUGCAGUUGAGGUAGGCGGAAUUCGUGGUGUAGCGGUGAAAUGCUUAGAUAUCAGGAAGAACACCGAUGGCGAAGGCAGCUUACUAAACGGCCACUGACGUUGAGGCUCGAAAGUGUGGGUAUCAAACAGGAUUAGAUACCCCGGUAGUC
rnacentral:rRNA from 1 species